CUUCACAGUUAUUUACUGCGAGCCCUAAUUCUUUAAUAAAUUCAUCCGUUAAAACUCACACACGCUCCUGUUUCUAGGAGCGCUGCCACUUUUGCAUAUGUAUUAUCAUGAGUAGUGCGAUCUGCCUACCAAAGUUACUCUUGAGUUAUGUUGAUUAUAACUUUCUUUUCAUUAUUUUUAAGGUCACUCCCUUGUUCGUUAUAGCCUUCUUUUCCUUAUAUUUAUGUGAGGCGGUUACUCCCUUGUUCGUUAUAGCCUUCAUCUUAUUAUAUUAAAGGUUACUCCCUUGUUCGUUGUAGCCUUCAUCUUAUUAUAUUAAAGGUUACUCCCUUGUUCGUUAUAGCCUUCAUCUUAUUAUAUUAAAGGUUACUCCCUUGUUCGUUAUAGCCUUCAUCUUAUUAUAUUAAAGGUUACUCCCUUGUUCGUUAUAGCCUUCAUCUUAUUAUAUUAAAGGUCACUCCCUUGUUCGUUAUAGCCUUCAUCUUAUUAUAUUAAAGGUUACUCCCUUGUUCGUUAUAGCCUUCAUCUUAUUAUAUUAAAGGUCACUCCCUUGUUCGUUAUAGCCUUCAUCUUAUUAUAUUAAAGGUUACUCCCUUGUUCGUUAUAGCCUUCAUCUUAUUAUAUUAAAGGUUACUCCCUGUUCGUUAUAGCCUUCAUCUUAUUAUAUUAAAGGUUACUCCCUUGUUCGUUAUAGCCUUCAUCUUAUUAUAUUAAAGGUUACUCCCUUCUUCGUUAUAGCCUUCAUCUUAUUAUAUUAAAGGUUACUCCCUUCUUCGUUAUAGCCUUCAUCUUAUUAUAUUAAAGGUUACUCCCUUGUUCGUUAUAGCCUUCAUCUUAUUAUAUUAAAGGUUACUCCCUGUUUUGUUCUUCGCUCAUUUUCCGUUUUUUUCCACUGCAAGUGUGCAUAUUUAUUUAUUUAUUUAUUUAUUUAUUUUCAUUUGUUUAUUUAAUGUUAUUUGUAGUAGAUAACUGAGGGGGGCACUACCCUGGCCUCCUCUUCCUCUGAUUCUCUUACUUCACACAUUUAUCUUAAUACUUCACACUAUUGUCCAUAUGCUUCAUUUUUUUUUUUCAUUCAUGACUUUUUAUCCAUACCUCACACUUUUCUUAGUAUUUCACAUUUUUUCUAGAUCAUACUCUACACUUCCUACCUGGGGGACGCGGGUUAGGCCUUUAUAAAGUCACUCUAUGGCUGCAUGUCCGCCGCGGCACACCACCACCCUGUGAGGCAUAGAGCCCCGUGCUCCCCUCCAUCCUGGGGUAACAAUCCUAAAACAAACAAACCUGAGAGGCAGGACGCUGCCGCUGCCUGUCACCUGACACCCUCUCACUGAUGAAUGGAUCGCGGCGCGGGUGGAGAGAGACUGCCCAUCCCUUUCCACUCCGCCCGGGAAGGAACUCAUGAAUUCUCGGUUGAGUCGCGUGUGCUACCCAUUGCACUACAGAACAACAGUGGUUGGCCAGAGUUUCCAUUACUAUAUCGUCAAAGUCCAUGUCCUCCGGAAGAACCAUUAAUUAUAUAAUUAAAUCGUCACUAUUAUUUCCGCCACUUAAAACGAGCAAAGCUUAAUGAAAAUAAGAGGCGUUUUCUCGUCAGAGUAAAUUAAACAAAAGCACUGUAAGCACCUGUCCCUAUUUAUCCCUAUACCGCUGCCGCCAGUUUUAGACCCUUCUUUUCUUGUAUUAAAUCAACUCUUUUAUCACUCAUUAAUUACUCCAUAAAUGAUCUCACCGUCUCGUAUCCCUGGUAGCGUGAUCCGGCUUAAGUUGUUAUUGGAGACAUGGUGUUCGGGGAUAAACAAGGGAAAAAGUAAAUAUACAUUUAUUUAAAAUUAAAUGAAAGUAAUUGCCUUACGCAAUAUUCUAUGCUCAGACGAUCAUAACACUGGCAUAUUCAGCAAUGGAUGCAACAUAUGACAAACGACAUGUCUUAAACAUAAUACUACAAUAUGUGCUCAGUUGUUGCCAGUAAUAAUAACACUCGUCGUUCCACAAGCAGUGGUUUGUAUCUCUCUGCUUACAUCACAAUCAUUAUGUACUCUCUUCACAAAAUCCUAAUAACACAUUCCUAUAGUAUAAUCUACUACAGGUCACGGAAACACCAAUUUAUACCACACCCAGUGGUUUUACCUUUGCUUUACAUCGCAAACAAAUAAUCACAAUCCUGUCCCACUCACAAUCCUACUUCACAUCUACAUUAUAAUCUCCAGGACAAUACAGUCGGUUUCUCUUAGAUUCUCGAAUUUCUACUCACGAUUAAGAUCACAACAGCCAUUCUCGGCUGAGUGAGUAGCAGGUCUGCUUGAGGCGAGAACCAAGCUCGGUCUACCCAUACCACUGAUUUCUAGGCCACAUUUUCUUUGCUUUAGGCGGACUUACAUCCUUGACACGCCCUUAAUUUUCUACAUAACCAGUGGCCAAUACUUCCUGUCACACCCAUCUGCUAGCUCAUUAUGUUGUAUUGUUUUACUUCUCCUGCUAUUCGUGAGUCAGUCUUAAGACACUCCCACAGUGAUUUUUCUGUUAAAUUAUUGGCUCAUAACAUGUCGCCACGACUGACGUCACGGGUCAGAGUCUUUUUCAAUGGUUGUUCACACUUUCUGACCACGCCCACUGGGCAUCUGUUUUCUGUACCUGAGUCUGGGUAUCUGUUUUCCUUUACCCUCGUUGUUUCCCCUCUUUGGUACUUGAGAUGCUUACACUGUUAUAUAUGUCACUUUUUUUGUUAGUGUUUGUCCUGUCAGAUGUCUACACAGUUGUAUACCUGCCUUUCCUCUCUGGGUAUCUGUUUUCCUUUACCCUCGUUGUUUCCCCUCUUUUGUACUUGAGAUGUUUACACUUAUAUAUAUGUCACCCUUUUUGUUAGUGUUUGUCCUGUCAGGUGUUUACACAGUUGUAUAUCUCACUCCUCUGUUUCCUCGUUUUCUGGGUCCUGAC